CUGCCACAGGCCCCUCACUAGCUUCAUCCGGUGCUGGUUGUGACCGCAAAGAGCUUCACAGACUAUCGGAUUCCUCCUCCUGUGUAGCUAAACAAAUAUUUAACUUGACGCGAUUCUCAGGCUCACUUUGCCCGGGAGCCUCUCGCGUGCGUCCAUCGAACGAAUCGGAGGCCACGUGGUCGUGAGGACAGCCUGGGGCCUGGUGGUCACGUGGCACGAGGGCGGGGCCGUGUCCGUGUGGGCGUUGCCCGGCGACGCGGGGGAGGGGCCUGGAGGGGCGGGGCUCUGCGGGCUGUGCGGGAACGCGAACGGAGACGCCAGCGAUGACCUCACCACGAGCUACGGCGUGCUGGCUGAUGAUGCUGCCGAGUUGGCGUUCAGCUGGAGAUCCGGGGGGGCUCUGGGGGGGCCGCCCCUCCCCGCGUGCCCCCCACGAAUAUUAAACCCCCCACACCCAUGUGUAGGGGUCCCCGUGGAGGCGCUCCGUGUGCGCUGCCUGCAAGCGCUACGCUCCCUGGGCCUCUCCCGGUGCCACAGCUCCACCCCCAGCGAGACUCACCUGGACAGCUGUACUCUCGACCU